AUCUACGGCCAUGCCACCCUGAACACGCCCGGUCCCGUCUGAUCGCGGAAGCUAAGCAGGGUCGGGCCUGGUGAGUACUUGGAUGGGAGACCACCUAGGAGGACCAGGUGCUGUAGGCG
rnacentral:rRNA from 1 species